rnacentral:pre_miRNA from 1 species
UGUGUACUCCCUCCGUUCAAAAAUACUUGACUUCCAUUUGUCCAAAAAUGGAUGUACCUAGAUACUAAAACAUGUCUAGAUACAUAUAUAUUUUGACAAAUAGAAGGCAUGUAUUGUGCAACGGAGGGAGUAGAAU